CAACCCGCUAGCCUGUAGUAACUCCUCCCGUCCUCUCAGGUCCUCACACAGUCGGUCCUCAGCUCGUAGAUCUCCUCCUCCUCCAUCAUCGCUCAAUUCGAUUUCAAAGCGAAAAAUAACGAAACUCAAAUCGAAACGGAGUUAUGGCCGCCGCAGAAGAGAACAGCUCUCUCUUUCUAAUAUUCAUCUUAACUAUAAUGGCUCUGCCUCUAGUGCCUUACACAAUUGUCAGGCUAUGCCGUGCAUUUUCUAGGAAGACGAAGAGUAUCCACUGCCAGUGUGUUGAAUGUUCGCGGUCCGGGAAGUAUCGGAAAUCCAUUUUUAAACGGAUAUCAAACUUCUCAACUUGUAGCAAUCUUACACUAGUGUUGCUUUGGGUCA